GCAUCGGAGUUACCAGGCUGUUCAUAUCGAAUCAAAGGCGAGGGAGGAGGAGAGCGAGAGGCAGGAGAUCUAUCUGCAUUAGCUAUGCUGACUUGUACUGCAGCAGCCUGGAGGCUGGGAAAAGAAAUUCACAGACCUCAGCGGCCUGGGAAAUUGAACACUUGGACAGAAUCUCAAAUGCUCUUCUGGAUUAAGGGAGACUUAACUUACAAUUAAGUUCAGGAUAUUCCCUUUCCUCACGAUCCACUUGUCAACGGAAAUGGACCAAUCAGAACAGAGAAAGGGGCAAAGGAAUGCCUUCUUUAGCUUGGAUGAGCUCAACACAAAGAUGAAUGUUCUUUCGGCAGCAGAGGAGGCUAAAAUCGGAGCCCGAGUUCAAGUUGGUCUAGGAUCCUCCGAUCAUCAGCACUCAUCUUGGUAUCUGUCAGUCAUCUAAGCAGCCUCCUAACUUGGCUUCUGGAAACAACCUGGGUUUGGACUGGGCUCUGGAGAGGCGGUUGAUUUCACCUGCACAGAUGCCAAAGCUACAUUUGGGAUGGGAUGUCUCUGCAGACACUUCAGCUUGGUUCUGAAAAGCGAUUCUGAUGUAGCCUGAUGGUUUCAACUCUCCGGGAAGUCACUUGUCAGUUCUGAAGCCCUGCUAAAUCAGCGAAAACAACAGGAAGCAGUGGGGGCUGGUGAGGAAGGAGGGAGCCGCUCAGAUGAGCAGUGCUAACAUACACACUGCUGGUGAGGCAUGGCUAGAGUCACAGGUCCUCUGAGAAGUUGGGGGCACUGUCUGGCAAGGCUCCUCCUAUCACCAAACUGAGGCUACCCUGGUCUGACGGAGUAGCUCUCAGAUAAGACCUCAUUAAAAAAUACAAGUGCAGUCCCAGUGUCCCCCUACCCACCUCAGGGGGGCAGAGACCUGCAGCACUAACACAAUUUCUCAGUGUUUCUGAAGCCAAGAUAACAGUCUCGUAAUUUUAAAAACUUAUGACGGAGCAGAAGGAGUGUUACUGUUGCAAGUGAGGCAAAUGCGGGCAGGUCACUUUGGAGUCUUUUGCAACUCAGUGUCUGCAUUAAUAAAUGAAAUGAAUGAAUGAAUGAAAAAGCAGCAAGGCUGGCUUUUUAAGAUUAAGGCAACUAAAUAACACAAAAUCUUUGAGAGCCUCUGUCCUGGUUGAAUUCCAACACCAUGUUCUUUCACCUUCUUUGGCUAACUGACAUCAUCUGUGAAAAAGUGAUUAGGAUCAGCUGAUUUCGAUCAGGGGAAAAAAACCAUCAUUUUUGCUGAGUUAAUUAACAUAUAAAAAGAUUUAGGGAAGGAUUACUUGCAGUUCAGACUGAGUGGAACAAUUUUUAUAUGACUUUAAUUUAAAAGAAUUGGGCGCUUUUAUUGGUCAAUAGGCUGUCCUUAACGGAUCUGUAUCAAAUUACAUUAAUGAGUCACUGCAUAUGCUUCAAACUACAUACUGUUGCACUGUUAUGUUCACAUUUUCUCUUAAUUAAUACACACUUAAUAGAAUAAGACAAGUUUCACUACCAUCAAUUUUUAUUAAUCUCUAUUGAUCAGCAUUGCACUGACCCACCUCCACAAAACUUCUUGUAGAGUCUCCAACUGGCUUAGUCAGACUCAUAUCUGGGCAAUCUCUAACUGUCUCUUACGCCACUGUAGGGUAAAGGACAUUUUCAUUCUUUGCCACGGAGGAACGAUCUCACAUUCCCUACAGUGCCUUCACAAAGACACACACUGCAGCAUCCUGAUAUACAGGAAAACUGGAAACUACCAGAACUUCUAUAUAGCCUGCAGGGUAACCAACCACAAAGCAUUCCACACGAGUUAAAAGGAAUGAGCUCUCUCUACAGGUAACAAUGCCACUGCUUCCAAAACAUAACGCUGGAGUGUGGCUAGCAGAGAGACAUGUAACUGGAGAGAGGUGGCAACACAGACACACAGUUUUUGCCUUCUGUGAAUGUUCCCAAAUUGAUAUCAGGGACAUUAUUCAUUACUACUUAGAAUUCUGAUAUCAAAGAGGUAGUAAGAUAGCAAUUUUAAAAUAAACUUAAUUAGUGAAUAGAACUCCUACAUAUCCCAAAUAUAAUAUAAUAUCAAUCAGCAUUAAAGAAACAGAGCUAACCAACUAAAGCAUGUCUGUGUGUCCUCUAGGAAGGCUGCCUACUGAUAUGCUAGAAGGCCCCAGCUAACCUCAGAGGAAUUGCAUUUUGCAACAAAUAAGAACCUCUUUAUAAGAAGGGCUUUAUUUUUCUCUGCUAGUGAGUUACUGAAACUUUCAUUUUAAAAGCCACACCUUUUGACAGGAGCCAAAAAUGGGUUAUGACCACAAAUUAAUAUUUAAGUAGCCAAAAUCAAGACACUCCAUUUGGCUGCUUUAAAAUGGAGGAGCAGGGGGAAUCAAAGAUUUGUUUUAGGCCCAUAUGAUCAUUAAAUCUUAAAAUCUAAUAAAUAUGAAUGCUGGAACAAACUUCCUUAUUACAAUUUAUAAUUUAUUUUAGCAAAAAACACUAUUCAGAAAGCAGUCAGGAAAAGCCCUCAAACACAGUCAAAGGGUCACUUUUGGGAUGUGUUCUCCCAGCCCUAGAAAUCAUGCAAACACAGCUUUCACCCAGACAGCAUCGCCUGCAGACCACCCUUCAUGGCAUAGCCCUGGUGUGGCCUGGGCAAAUUCAUUCUUUCUGCAUACUAUGGCAGCAGGAAGGAGGGCUGUGCUCUAUAAACCAUGUUGAAUAUUAUUUGUGAGGCAUAGGAAUACAGACAGCACCUACCUUCAUGGGCUCAUAUGGUCCACUCAAGGUACGAAGGUUUCCCAAAGAGGGAGGGAAAAAAAAAGCAUUUAUGGAUGGCACCAUCUGCUCCUAGCGCCCAAGCAGCAGCAAAUGUUACUUCUAAGAGAAUCCAACAAACUUUUACAGGGCGGCGUAUGCUCAAGGUGUGAGCCUUAGUGUCAUCUACGCAGUGAGAAAAUUCUGGCACUUCGAUUUCUAAACUCCCCAGCAGAGAAAACAAAAGGUAAAUGCUCUGCUAGUGAGUGGGACCUGACCAUUAACUCAACAGGGAGUGUUCUCUCCCAUUAAAUAGUAAGGCCAUAAACUUUGUUCCCCAAACCACUCUCACAUUAUUAAAGAGAAGAAUGUGUUUUUAAAGAAAUUAUAUGAUGCUGGGUACAAACAAUUUAUUGGAAAAAGUAGCAAUGUGUAAGUAUUUGGUUAGUAAGGAGGUCAGACAUAGAAACCCCAUUUUCUUUAGCUCCUGGUAUUCCAGGUUCCUUUACUACCCACAGUGCUAUGUCCUGCAACCAGGAAAGCUUUAAUUAUGAACACACACAUACACAUGCUUAUUGCAAUAAACAAAAAUCUUCACUGCCCUUUAAAGCAAGACAAACAACAUAUCUGAGAACAACUGCUAGGGUAUCAUUGGCUUCUGCAGCCUGCAAGAGUCACUUCUUCCCCUGAGAAUGUGUGCAGAUCCAUCACUUUCUCUUCUGUGUUCUAAGAGGACUGAACCCAGGCUCUCACGCAUGCCAGGCCAGUGCUGUACCAGCUGAGCUGUAUUAUCAGCCCUGAGUUUUGAUCUGUUUUUAUUUUUGAGACCAGGUCUUAAUAUGUAUUCCAGGCUCGCUUUGAACUAUUUCAACUUUCGAACAUUAGAAAUAUACAGUGGGCUACCAUGCCAAGCUGACGCAUAGUUUUGUCUAGAUAAACAUUUGUCCUUGCCCUAAUGACAAAAUAAAAUGGUCAACUGUCAGGGAAGUUAAAAAAUUUCACCUCACCCUAGAAAAGAGUGAAUCUCCAGUUGCUGGGACAGAAGGCUUCUCUGAACACAGUGUCCUUCAGGAUUAAAGGAAAUGAGGUGUCAAGCAACCCACUCUGACUGACAAGAGUGAAGACAAAAAAAAUGGGCAAAGGGUGUUGAAAGGGUGAACUCUGCAGUCACUGUGACACACAAAGAGGAUCUAACAAAUAAUAAAAACAUACAUCAUCACUGGUGGGCACUGUCUUCAGCAUGGCUCCAAUUCUCCUUCCACUGGGUCUCUAGACAUGGCUAUCCUAUUACAAACACUUCGGUUUUCUUUAAGCAUUUCAAAAAACACUGCGUUACUAUUUCUACAUGCCAUUGGACACGUCUGCUUUUUCUUGAGCAGUCUAAAAGGAAAUAUCUAGAAAAUGAUUGUGGGGGAAGAAACUGGGCAUUGAAGAACACAGUACAACACUAAUGUUUACAAGCAAGAUGCUUCUUGUGAAUAGUGUGCCUACUAGGUAGUACAUCAACUUGUAUGGGGAUGAACUGAGAGAGAGACCACUGAGCUGCAGACGUUUAAGGGGUAGGACUGAGGGCUGAGAACAAGGCUCCCCCAUCCAAGUAGAAAUUAUGAUAAUCUGAAAACCAAUACUUUUAACAAGCCAUGAACUCUAUUCUUCACUAACUAGCUGUUUUGUUCAUUUUGCUUGUUUGAGAAUAUGUAAAAGGGGACACAACGUUACAAAAGUAAAUGAGAACAUUAAUUUCUGAUGUUUUGAUGGAGAUAAAAUUUAAGUGCUAGGGAGGGUUCGGGCUGGAAUGAAUGCAGGACAGGGGCACUCACAAGAUUAAACACAUGGCGUGGAAGCCCUACUACAUGUCAUGAGUUAAAAUGAUAUAAAGCAGUAAGACUGAAGAGGCUGAAGUCUUGAUUUUACAGCAUUCAGUCUGUCGAGAGAAUCAGCUCUGUAGUACCUAAUUCCUGAGAGAAGUUUCUUCUUUGAUGACAAUGAAGAAUGUGACUGUGAGAGAAGCUGGGCCUGAGAAGAGCUACUUUAAAGUGCGUGGUUCACAAAGUGGUAAAUGGAAGAGGCAGUGUUUUGGCUAAGACUUGAAUCAUAAGAAGGGAUCUGGCAUGAGAUUAUUCAUUCAUCCGAGAUGUACUGAGCUCUGGCAUAUGCUGAGCAGAAGAUGACCGGGGAGAUCCAGGGACUUGGGGUAUGAGCCUUGCCCUGGGGAGGCUCACUGUUCACAAACCCAAAGUAACAGAGUGAAGAUCACGAGCCACCAGGAUCAAAGGAAACCCUAUCACAGAGAGAAAGAACAGAGGACAGGCAUCUACUCCAUUAGGAAGGAAGGAGAGAAAGGAUGGGCUGAAAGUGAGGGACAGUCAGGGUUUCACCAUCAGGGGCCCAGUUGGGAACAACACACAAUGACUGACGAUUGACUGAAUAAGGAUCACGACUUUAGGAUUGUUUCAGGCCAAAUAAGUGUGUCAACAAAGACUCAAAGCAAAACUCGAGCCAGGGUACAUUUCCACUGAUGCAUCCGACAAACACAAUACAUCACAAAAUUAAAUCCAUGAAACGAAAUGAAAAAUUAUUCUACUUUGGACUGUUGGUUUUUUUUUUUUUCUCUUUCCUCUAGCCAAAAACCAUCAUCAACUCUGCAGAGUAAUUUUUCAAUGCAAACACAGUAUCAGCUGCCAAGAACGAGGACCAGACCCAUUGGCUCCAGAAAGAUAAAGGCAUGCUUUCCUUAGGGAGCCAAUAAUGGUCACUGUGAAAUAGCAUCACUCCUGUAAUUCAGAGGCCUAGAGUGAGGAGUGCCUAUGCUUUGUUACCUAGCAUCUUGCAAAGAAGAUUAAGAAUGCAGUUGUGCAGGUUUUUUUUUUUUUCCAGCUAUAGAGAAGUUGGCUUCAAUUACACAGUACAUAUGGCCUUAUAAAUAUGUCUCUAGGAGAAAUGAAUGGCCCGAGAGACUGGUGAUUUCUAAUGGUUACAGGGCUUUUCACCUGCAAGUCAGAAGCCCUGAACUGACACAGACACAGAGAGACUUGAAGUCAUUAAUACCAUGGACUGCUUGCUGAAAGUCCAAGGUAGGAUGGAUGAACUACAUUCAAGUAAUUCCUCAGAAGUAAACGGUUACCCGAGGAAAAUAAUCACUGAAAUGGAAAGAUGUUCCUACAGUUCAUUCAAAAAUAUAUGAAGUAUGGGCUGGGGCUGUAGCUCACCAGCAGAGGGCUUGCCUACCAUGCAAGAAAAAUGGGAAAAACAGUCAAACAAAACCCCAAACACAAAGCAGAAAAUCUGCCUUCUCUUCUUAUUUCUUUUUUUUUAAAUUUUUGUUAGAUAUUUUCUUCAUUUACAUUUCAAAUGCUAUUCCAACAGUCCCCUAUACCUUCCCCCAACCCUGCUCCCCUACCCACUCACUCACACUUCUUCGCCCUAGCGUUCCCCUGUACUGGGACAUAUAAAGUUUGCAAGACCAAGGGGCCUCUCUUCCCAAUGAUAGCCGACUAGGCCAUCUUCUGCUACAUAUUUAAAAUGAGGCCUAUGUACAAAACAACUGGUGCACUGCUCUUUACAAUAGCUCUCUGAGCAACUCCGAAUCGUCUCUUUACUUUGCAUACUAGAAAAUGGUCACACAAAAUGGUAAACAACAUAGCCUAUGGCACGUAGUCAGGUAAGUGAGGAGACCACAAGGAAGGGAUGAAAACUAUAGUUGUCCAUACAGUAUAAAAUAGAUUUACAGAAAAGUUUCCAUAUAGCUCUACUGAGAAUACGGCCUUACCAUCCACAAGCAAACAGGUCAGUUUGUCAGGCUAUCUCAGAUUCACAUUCAUGAUUUAUAUUUAGUAAGAUGGUUUUCUCCUACAGGUGUCUCUGUACAGCUAUUUCUUAAUUUGUCUCCAAGUUAUUAUUCUAAGAACCACUGCCCACUGAAAGCUGUGUGUUCUGAAAAUAUAGUCGGCUCUGCUCCUGACUGGGGGCAAAGAAGCAAGUCUAGAGCUAUACAGCUGGCCUUUAAUAGCUGGAAGCAGUAAUAGUAAUAAUCUAUCUGCUUUGGAAAUGUUUCCUGACAGUACAACAAUAAAAGGACUUCUUUUUAAUGGGGUGUAGAGAAAAGAGGUAAUGAGUCAAAAGUAGGGGGGAUGACGGCACCUUGCCUGCAUAAAGGGGAAGCAAAAGAACUGUCACUUUAAAAAUUCUGUCCUGUCAUGAGGUAGCACAGGGACGAUCCUUCUCCAGGGAAUUCCCUAGCGAAAUGUACUGUUUCAAGGUGGAACGGAGGCAGUUCCCACAGUGAUCUACAUUGUGGGAGUUGAGGAUAUUUGUGAUUAAACUCUUCAGGGGGUCUGACCUCACUUUCCAAGUAUUUCCACCUUGGGUAAUGUCCCUGAACGCCAUCCUCAUGCCUCAAUGGCCACUUGUACGGAUGUUUCAGGACCGGCCCUGCUAACUCCUCCUCUUCCUAAUGGAGAAGCUGUUGGGAUGGGGGAUGGGAGAGGGUUUGAACAGGGGGGGGGGAGAAUUGGGGUGGCCUGGAAACUCUACAGAAGUCCUUUCAAAGUUUGGCUUUCAGCAUCCAAACGCUGACACCAUUGCAUACACUAGCAAGAUUUUAUCGAAAGGACCCAGAUGUAGCUGUCUCUUGUGAGACUAGGCCGGGGCCUAGCAAACACAGAAGUGGAUGCCCACAGUCAGCUAAUGGAUGGAUCACAGGGCUCCCAAUGGAGGAGCUAGAGAAAGUACCCAAGGAGCUAAAGGGAUCUGCAACCCUAUAGGUGGAUCAACAUUAUGAACUAACCAGUACCCCGGAGCUCUUGACUCUAGCUGCAUAUGUAUCAAAAGAUGGCCUAGUCGGCCAUCACUGGAAAGAGAGGCCCAUUGGACACACAAACUUUAUAUGCCCCAGAACAGGGGAACGCCAGGGCCAAAAAGGGGGAGUGGGCGGGUAGGGGAGUGGGGGUGGGUGGGUAUGGGGGACUUUUGGUAUAGCAUUGGAAAUGUAAAUGAGCUAAAUACCUAAUAAAAAAUGGAAAGAAAAAAAAAUAAAAUGCCAUUGGCAACAUCUAUCUUAAAAAAAAAAAAAAAGAAAAUCAACUGUAGUGCAUGUCCAUUGUACUUGAUUUUUCUCAUUAAAACUGUGUCUAGAUAACAAAAAAAAAAAAAAAAAAAAAAAG